rnacentral:misc_RNA from 1 species
AAAGACCUCAUAUAUCCGCCACAUGGUCUGAGAAAGGGCAUGUACAGGUCUGGGAUUUUACCUCAAGUCUCAAUGCUUUGGCGGAAUCUGAAACAGAAUUUAUUGGCGGGGGUAUCAACAUACAGCAUAUCUCCCCCAUAAUGAAAUUCAAUGGACACAAAGAUGAAGGCUAUGCUCUAGAUUGGAGUCCACUUGUACCUGGAAGGCUCAUCUCUGGUGACUGCAAAAAAUGUAUUCAUUUGUGGGAACCUUCAUCUGACUCGUGGAAUGUAAAUGCAAGUCCUUUUGUUGGGCACACUGCAAGUGUGGAAGAUCUGCAGUGGAGUCCAACGGAACCCGAUAUGUUUGCUUCUUGUUCAGUGGAUCAAACUAUUGCAAUAUGGGAUACACGAGUAGGGAAAUCACCUGUAAUCUCUCUGAGGGCACAUGAAGCUGAUGUCAAUGUUAUAUCCUGGAAUAGGCUGGCAAGCUGUAUAAUAGCCUCUGG